rfam:Populus trichocarpa isolate Nisqually-1 chromosome 2, whole genome shotgun sequence.
UAAUAUGUCUACGGUAAAUUCUUAUCUAAAUAUAGCAGAUCUACACCUGACUGUUUAGAAUCCUCUACUAUCUCAAGUAUGGCUACCAAUUAAAAUGCUCAAGUUUUUAAUGAACAAAAU